CACAUGACAGUCGACGAUGAAGCCCAGCUUGCUGGGUGGAUUAGUGGCGAACGGGUGAGUAACACGUGAGUAACCUGCCCUUGACUCUGGGAUAAGCGUUGGAAACGACGUCUAAUACCGGAUACGAGCUUCCACCGCAUGGUGAGUUGCUGGAAAGAAUUUUGGUCAAGGAUGGACUCGCGGCCUAUCAGCUUGUUGGUGAGGUAACGGCUCACCAAGGCGACGACGGGUAGCCGGCCUGAGAGGGUGACCGGCCACACUGGGACUGAGACACGGCCCAGACUCCUACGGGAGGCAGCAGUGGGGAAUAUUGCACAAUGGGCGAAAGCCUGAUGCAGCAACGCCGCGUGAGGGACGACGGCCUUCGGGUUGUAAACCUCUUUUAGCAGGGAAGAAGCGAAAGUGACGGUACCUGCAGAAAAAGCACCGGCUAACUACGUGCCAGCAGCCGCGGUAAUACGUAGGGUGCAAGCGUUGUCCGGAAUUAUUGGGCGUAAAGAGCUCGUAGGCGGUUUGUCGCGUCUGCUGUGAAAUCCCGAGGCUCAACCUCGGGUCUGCAGUGGGUACGGGCAGACUAGAGUGCGGUAGGGGAGAUUGGAAUUCCUGGUGUAGCGGUGGAAUGCGCAGAUAUCAGGAGGAACACCGAUGGCGAAGGCAGAUCUCUGGGCCGCUACUGACGCUGAGGAGCGAAAGGGUGGGGAGCAAACAGGCUUAGAUACCCUGGUAGUCCACCCCGUAAACGUUGGGCGCUAGAUGUGGGGACCAUUCCACGGUUUCCGUGUCGUAGCUAACGCAUUAAGCGCCCCGCCUGGGGAGUACGGCCGCAAGGCUAAAACUCAAAGGAAUUGACGGGGGCCCGCACAAGCGGCGGAGCAUGCGGAUUAAUUCGAUGCAACGCGAAGAACCUUACCAAGGCUUGACAUAUACGAGAACGGGCCAGAAAUGGUCAACUCUUUGGACACUCGUAAACAGGUGGUGCAUGGUUGUCGUCAGCUCGUGUCGUGAGAUGUUGGGUUAAGUCCCGCAACGAGCGCAACCCUCGUUCUAUGUUGCCAGCACGUAAUGGUGGGAACUCAUGGGAUACUGCCGGGGUCAACUCGGAGGAAGGUGGGGACGACGUCAAAUCAUCAUGCCCCUUAUGUCUUGGGCUUCACGCAUGCUACAAUGGCCAGUACAAAGGGCUGCAAUACCGUAAGGUGGAGCGAAUCCCAAAAAGCUGGUCCCAGUUCGGAUUGAGGUCUGCAACUCGACCUCAUGAAGUCGGAGUCGCUAGUAAUCGCAGAUCAGCAACGCUGCGGUGAAUACGUUCCCGGGCCUUGUACACACCGCCCGUCAAGUCAUGAAAGUCGGUAACACCCGAAGCCAGUGGCCUAACCGCAAGGAGUG
rnacentral:rRNA from 1 species